GACGGAGGAUGCAAGCGUUAUCCGGAAUGAUUGGGCGUAAAGCGUCCGCAGGUGGCAGUUCAAGUCUGUUGUCAAAGACCGGGGCUUAACUUCGGAAAGGCAGUGGAAACUGAACAGCUAGAGUAUGGUAGGGGCAGAGGGAAUUCCUGGUGUAGCGGUGAAAUGCGUAGAGAUCAGGAAGAACAUCGGUGGCGAAGGCGCUCUGCUGGACCAUAACUGACACUCAGGGACGAAAGCUGGGGGAGCGAAUGGG
rnacentral:rRNA from 1 species